rnacentral:rRNA from 1 species
UACGGAAGGCAGCAGUGGGGAAUAUUGCACAAUGGGCGAAAGCCUGAUGCAGCUAUGCCGCGUGUAUGAAGAAGGCCUUAGGGUUGUAAAGUACUUUCAUCGGGGAGGAAAAACAAAACUAAUAAUUUUAUUUCUUGACGUUACCCGAAAAAGAAGCACCGGCUAACUCCGUGCCAGCAGCCGCGGUAAUACGGAGGGUGCUAGCGUUAAUCAGAAUUACUGGGCGUAAAGAGCACGUAGGUGGUUUUUUAAGUCAGAUGUGAAAUCCCCUGGGCUUAACCUAGGAACUGCAUUUUGAAAACUGAAAUACUAGAGUAUCGUAGAGGGAGGUAGAAUUCUAGGUGUAGCGGUGAAAUGCGUAGAUAUCUGGAGGAAUACCUGUGGCGAAAGCGGCCUCCUAAACGAAUACUGACACUGAGGUGCGAAAGCGUGGGGAGCAAACAGGGAUUAGAUACC